UAGGGAAUCUUCGGCAAUGGGGGCAACCCUGACCGAGCAACGCCGCGUGAGUGAAGAAGGUUUUCGGAUCGUAAAGCUCUGUUGUAAGAGAAGAACGUGUGUGAGAGUGGAAAGUUCACACAGUGACGGUAACUUACCAGAAAGGGACGGCUAACUACGUGCCAGCAGCCGCGGUAAUACGUAGGUCCCGAGCGUUGUCCGGAUUUAUUGGGCGUAAAGCGAGCGCAGGCGGUUUAAUAAGUCUGAAGUUAAAGGCAGUGGCUUAACCAUUGUUCGCUUUGGAAACUGUUAAACUUGAGUGCAGAAGGGGAGAGUGGAAUUCCAUGUGUAGCGGUGAAAUGCGUAGAUAUAUGGAGGAACACCGGUGGCGAAAGCGGCUCUCUGGUCUGUAACUGACGCUGAGGCUCGAAAGCAUGGGUAGCGAACAGG
rnacentral:rRNA from 1 species